UAAGAGAGAGAGAGGGACGCCGUUGACGCUAUCAGGGAGGAAGGAAGAACUGCACGAGAGCCAGGGGAGGGGGAGCCUCUGCUGCGUCGCCGCCGUGCCUCCAUCACCGCCGAACCGCUUUGCUAAUGCUAACUCUUUCGCAUCUAGUCGGCGUCGAGGGAACCGUCACCGUCGCGGCCAUGGGCAUGGGUUUCAAAGGGAAGAGAACACGAUGAGGAGAGGAGGAGCUGUGUCCCGCUUCUGCCGCUGUCAUCGUGCUCAACCUCCGCGCCAGGUCAUCGUCGUCGUCGUUGUGGUCAGAAGCUGCCACUGUCGCUGUUUGGGUCCGCCGUGGGGAGGAGCAGCGCUGACGUCGCUGUAAACCAGCUGUUGGAGCCUCUGCUAGCUUGCCCUGUGCUGCUGUAUCGUCACCGGAGUUGCCGUUGCUUCAUCCUUUGAAUUCCUUAUGGUACAGUGAGUUUUCUUGUCCCGAAACCUUUACCGUUAUUAUUCUGAUAUAAGUUACUGUGGUCUUUGCGACAUUGAUGCAUUGAGGUCGAGUUCCGGUUAUUGCAUAUCGCGUUUAGAGUUGUCGAUGUUGCUGCGAAAGUGGAAUGGAGUUAUGGUUGUGGCUGCCACUGUUGCGGGCCAGGAUAAAGAGAGUUUUGUCCCGUAGUUAAGUCGCGAUCGAGGUAAGGACGGUGGUUAAUCCCGCUUGCCCGAGAUUUACUGCAAUGGCAAGGAUGGUGGUUAAUCCCGCUUUCGCAUUGACGGAAUUUUUUUCAGACAAGGAUAGUGGUUAAUCCCGCAUGUUUGAGUUAUCCGGUAAUGACGGUUGGUUAAUCCUGCUUACUCGUGGACUAAUGUUCCGAGUAAGGACGGUUGGUGAAUCUCGCUUGUGGAGCCUAUGGAUAACGACGGUUGGUGAAUCCCACUUACCCGAGUCGGGUCUGACAACAUAACCGACGCGUGAGCUCAUGGCCAGUAGGAUCAUACUGCAUUUGUUUGCUAUUGUUUGUGGUGUGCUUAAGUGCUUCGGUUUGCCUAUUUGAUGAAUUCUGUCUAACUGUUAAUUGUGAUACCUGUCGUAAUUGCUUUCUAAUUGUUUUCCUUGCAUUGUUUGUGCUUGUGAUUGAUUAUGUUCUAAGACUGACUGUUGGUUGAGAAAGUUUGGGCCGGAGGCUGUGGAUUGAUUAUAUAUUGGGUCAGUGAUUGUGGUUUGAUUAUAUAUUGGGCUAGAGGCCGAGAUUUGAUUA